UGAGGAAUAUUGGUCAAUGGGCGCAAGCCUGAACCAGCCAUCCCGCGUGCAGGAAGACGGCCCUAUGGGUUGUAAACUGCUUUUCCAGGGAGAGAAACCUGCGCACGUGUUGCGCAAUUGACGGUACCCUGGGAAUAAGCAUCGGCUAACUCCGUG
rnacentral:rRNA from 2 species